UUGCGCCCACUGGUAUUCCGGUGGGCAUGCCUGUUCGAGCGUCAUUAUCCUCCCUCAAACCUCUGUGUUUGGUGUUGGGCCGCGUUGGUGUCACAGCCAACUGGUCUCAAAGACAAUGACGGCGUCCGUGGGACCCUCUUCGCAACGAGCAUCUUCGGAAGCACGCGUCGAGUUUCAAGGACCUUCCGGGCCGGUCUACCCUUUAUCUUUCUAAGGUUGACCUCGGAUCAGGUAGGAAUACCCGCUGAACUUAAGCAUAUCAAU
rnacentral:rRNA from 1 species